rnacentral:rRNA from 1 species
UGGCUCAGAACGAACGCUGGCGGCAGGCCUAACACAUGCAAGUCGAGCGGGGGAGCAAUCCUAGCGGCGGACGGGUUAGUAACGCGUGGGAACAUACCCUUUGGUACGGAAUAGCCUCGGGAAACUGAGAGUAAUACCGUAUGUGCCCUUCGGGGGGAAAGAUUUAUCGCCAAAGGAUUGGCCCGCGUUGGAUUAGGUAGUUGGUGGGGUAAUGGCCUACCAAGCCUACGAUCCAUAGCUGGUUUGAGAGGAUGAUCAGCAACACUGGGACUGAGACACGGCCCAGACUCCUACGGGAGGCAGCAGUGGGGAAUCUUAGACAAUGGGCGCAAGCCUGAUCUAGCCAUGCCGCGUGAGCGAUGAAGGCCUUAGGGUUGUAAAGCUCUUUCAGAUGGGAAGAUAAUGACGGUACCAUCAGAAGAAGCCCGGCUAACUCCGUG